rnacentral:rRNA from 1 species
AGUGAACGCUGGCGGUAGGCCUAACACAUGCAAGUCGAACGGCAGCACAGUAAGAGCUUGCUCUUACGGGUGGCGAGUGGCGGACGGGUGAGGAAUACAUCGGAAUCUACUUUUUCGUGGGGGAUAACGUAGGGAAACUUACGCUAAUACCGCAUACGACCUACGGGUGAAAGCAGGGGAUCUUCGGACCUUGCGCGAUUGAAUGAGCCGAUGUCGGAUUAGCUAGUUGGCGGGGUAAAGGCCCACCAAGGCGACGAUCCGUAGCUGGUCUGAGAGGAUGAUCAGCCACACUGGAACUGAGACACGGUCCAGACUCCUACGGGAGGCAGCAGUGGGGAAUAUUGGACAAUGGGCGCAAGCCUGAUCCAGCCACACCGCGUGGGUGAAGAAGGCCUUCGGGUUGUAAAGCCCUUUUGUUGGGAAAGAAAAGCAGCAGGUUAACACCCCGCUGUUCUGACGGUACCCAAAGAAUAAGCACCGGCUAACUUCGUG